CUCCUUGUUCUCGGUUUCAUGCCUCUGCAUGCGUGCACUGCGUACAGGCGUGCUGGCGGCCCGUCUCUCUGCCUCUCUCUCUCCCUUGCCCUCACCGAGUUUCGAAUGUGGAGAGGGCUUCCCCGCGGAGCAUACAGACACCUGUGCGCGGACCCGAGAGGGAGACACAGUGCUAUCCUGCAGCCAUGAUGCAUCGACUGCCCAUCACCGUCAGCUUCGAUGCGCUGGACUCUCUUAUUCAGAUAACGCGUGGAUUGGGCUACCAGUACCGCAGCUCGUACGCAUCCUUUCUGCUGGAACACGGUAUUGACCUUCACGCAAGCUGCCCAAACGCCACCUGUGAGGUGGUGCAGGAACUCGCGCUGAAGGCGAUCCAUGACCAAGUGCGGGUGGAGCGUGCAGCAUGGACUCGUUCUGCCAACCCAAAGGAGAUGCCGAUUGGCGGCGACACAGAUGAGGAACUGCGCUCUUUUUGGACCCGCGUUCUGAGGCAAACCUAUACAUGUGCGACGCUGUAUGACGGCGCUGCCGCGGAUGUGGUGCAGCGCAUCGAGGAGCUGUGGAGCGACCACCACAACGAAGUGCGCCGGUUUGAAGACUACGUGCUGUUUGAUCAGUUCAGCUCCACCAAGGCCCAUAGCUGGUACCCGGAAGGACUCCGCACAUUGCAGUGCCUGCGUAAAUGGAACCAAGUACAGGUGAGCCGUGACAAGAGCGCUGUGCGGCCAGGCCUGGUAGAGCCGACGCCAGCGUCUGACUUGGACGUGGUUUCUCCUUCCACUGCCGCAGCGUCUCCGGUUCUCUUCCUGGCUGCGCCGCCAUUCGUAGUUUCCAACAUGGAUCCUCGUAUACGGGGCGUGUUCAUGCAGCUGGGUGCGCUCGAGGCUGGUGAAAGAGGUGAGCCGCCACUGCUUUCGCGGAUCAUCUCGGCUCGGGAUACGGGCUACGCAAAGCCGUCGCCCAUAGGCAUCCUGACCGGUGUGCGCGAUAUUGCCGCUUCCUACCGCGCCGCGUGCCGAAGCGGCGGCGGUGUGUGCGAUGCGGGUGUCGAUGUACAUAGGCACGUGCACGUAGGCGACGCCGAUGCCGAUCGCGUUGCAUGCGAGCGCGCGGGGUGCCAUUUCGUGCAGUGCGACCCCGCUACGGGCGUGACGUGGGGGCUGCUGCAGUCCAAGCUACAGGAGCUGGAGGCACUCUACGGAUCUGCGCCCUCCCUCCAACGAGCUAUGAGAGGGGACUCGAGCUCCGCGUGAUCGCCUUCUUGUGCACGAGUCGUGCACCAGCCUCCGACACCUGCCUCGAGAAGUGCGCUGGCCGCGCGAGUGCCCGUUCUCUCUGCCCUUUCGCCUUUUUCGUCUCAUUUUCGCUUUCUGCUUGUUCGGCUCUGCUGGUGCGUCGUCUGCGCAUUAACGCGCUCAUUAAAGGUGGGCGGAUGGGGGGGUGGACCCCCCCCCCCCCCCCGAGAAUCAACGCACCCGAUCGCGAUCCACCUCAAGGCGUUGCUCAACAGGUCGACUCUACACCAUACAGCAGGAGCCCAAACCCAACUCGAGCCCGCACGCGCCCCGUCACAGGCCCGCCUCGCGUGGUGUGCAGCAGCGCUAGACACGCGCGUCACAGCAAUGCGCCGACCCAGUCAUCGCAGCACGACCCCUGCCUCAGACGCGGCCCCACCCACCCACCCCCGACCCGCGCCCAUCGUGCCGGCCGCCACGCGGUGCAUCCUCCUCGGCGUGGCGCAGGCUCCCUGCACACCAGCAGGCAGUGCGCGAGGGCCGGGGGGUGGGUGGUGGGACACACGCCCGAGCCACGCUGACGCUCUGCCUAAUCAUAUGGAUUAGGCACAAGCGUGCUCGCUGUCGCAGGGGGGGGUGCCCCGACGCAGCGCCAUCCAGGACCUGGGCGCCGGCAUCUGUAGCGAUGCAUCGCCCGGGCCUCCCUCCUCCCCUUACGUCGUGGGUGCCGGGCCCCCGGCAUCCCCGGAAGUGAGGUUCGGCAUUCGGCAGGGAUAGGUGGAGGGAGGGGAGAGCUGCCUGCCCCCGCCCCCUCCCUCCCUUCCCCACAGAGAAAGGGAGAGCGUGUAGGGGGGAGGGCGCUGGACUCUGAUGAUGCCAUGCACUGGGGCGUUCCACCUCCGUCGUUCGGGCGUAUACAAGAGGCACACAGGAGAAGAUGAGUCAACAUUUGAGACAUGUAUCAUGAAGGCACAUGGGUGCGAGAACGGCCU
rnacentral:misc_RNA from 1 species